UUAACCUUAACCUUAACCCACCCAAACUCCAAACUCCAAAUCCAAAUCCAAAUCCAAAUCCAAAUCCAUCCCAUUCCUUGUUUCAAAUCGGAGCAUAUGUGAAGUGGAGCAAUCAGAUGCCAACGAAUUGAAAGAUGGAAAGUGAGGUUGGGUAGUGGAUUUGGUAUGUUGGAAUCUAGGUCGAAAUGGUGGGUUCCGAUAGUCCAAACGGUGGUUCUACACCGCCACAUCCACCUCAACAACAACAACAACAACAACAACAACCCAACAAGUUUGAUGGUUUCUCAAAGCCCAUCUCUCUCGCCGGUCCCACCGAUGCUGAUUUUCAUCGUAACCUCGAAUUGGAGAAGUUCUUGCUUGAUUCCGGGCUUUAUGAGAGCAAUGAAGAAGCUGCAACCAGACAAGAGGUUCUUCAACGUCUUGAUCAGAUUGUCAAAAGCUGGGUGAAGCAGUUGACCCGCCAACGAGGCUACACAGAUCAGAUGGUUGAGGAUGCAAACGCUAUCAUUUUCACUUUUGGUUCUUAUCGACUAGGGGUGCAUGGACCAGGAGUUGACAUUGACACUUUGUGCAUUGGCCCUUCUUAUGUGAAUCGAGAGGAAGACUUCUUUAUCAUUUUGCAUAACAUCCUGGCUGAAAUGGAAGAAGUUACUGAACUUCAACCAGUUCCUGACGCACAUGUUCCAGUUAUGAAAUUCAAGUUUCAGGGAAUAUCUAUAGAUUUGCUGUAUGCAAGUAUAUCCCGUUUGGUUGUCCCAGAAGACCUAGAUAUCUCACACGGUUCCGUGCUGCAUGAUGUUGAUGAACCAACUGUUCGAAGCCUUAAUGGCUGCAGGGUGGCAGAUCAAAUUCUUAAACUUGUUCCAAAUGUUGAGCACUUCCGAACUACACUGAGAUGCUUAAAGUUUUGGGCUAAAAGGCGUGGUGUUUAUUCAAAUGUUACUGGAUUCCUUGGAGGUGUAAACUGGGCUCUUUUAGUUGCUCGAGUUUGCCAGCUUUACCCUAAUGCAAUCCCUAGUAUGUUGGUUUCUCGAUUCUUCAGGGUCUAUACUCAGUGGCGGUGGCCAAACCCUGUAAUGCUAUGCUCUAUAGAAGAGAAUGAAUUGGGCUUCCCUGUAUGGGAUCCUCGUAGAAAUCCCCGCGACAGAUUUCACAUAAUGCCAAUAAUUACUCCUGCAUACCCUUGCAUGAAUUCUAGCUACAACGUCUCAGCGAGCACUCUUCGUGUUAUGAUGGAACAGUUCCGUUAUGGGAACAAGAUUUGUGACGAAAUUGAGCUUAACAAAGCCCAGUGGAGUGCUCUUGUUCAGCCAUAUGUCUUUUUUGAGGCGUACAAAAACUAUUUACAAGUAGACAUAAUUGCAUCAGACACUGAUGAUUUACUAGCUUGGAAGGGUUGGGUCGAAUCUCGGUUGAGACAGCUUACCCUAAAGAUAGAGCGAGAUACAAAUGGGAUGCUGCAGUGUCAUCCUUAUCCACAUGAGUAUGCAGAUACAUCCAAGCCUUGUGCACAUUCUGCAUUUUUCAUGGGCUUGCAAAGAAGAGAGGGAGUAAGAGGACAAGAGGGGCAGCAAUUUGAUAUACGUGGAACAGUUGAUGAAUUCAGACAAGAAAUAAAUAUGUAUGUAUACUGGAAGCCAGGGAUGGAAAUAUACGUUUCUCAUGUUCGUCGAAAGCAGCUCCCUGCAUUUGUUUUUCCAGAUGGUUACAAACGCAAUCGGAUGCCACGGCAUAUAAGCCAUCCAGCUGAAAAAAUGGGUGAUGAUGCCUCAAAGUGCCACUCUGGGUCUUCUGAAAGAUGCAUCAAGAGGAAAAAUUACCAUGAAAUGGUGGAUGUGAAGCCAGGAAAACCAGAGAAGCAGGCAUCUAUUAGCCCACAGAGGCUAGAGUGUGUUUCUCCUGAAAGUUGUACUAGUAGAUCAGGUGGUACACCUCAAAUGGGUGUUGAUUGUAUCGAAGGGGUUAAGUUAGUUGGUUCAACAACCAAGGAUGCUGACAGCAAUUGUGAAAUUAAGUCAUCUGACGGACUCCUAGGAAUUGGAAUAAGUACUGAAGGAGCUGACAUGCAGACUAGUGAGACAGGUGUUGUUGAUUCCACACAUGAUAGGCUGAAAUCAAGGAGUUUAGAAGUUCAGAAUGAGAAUGGAGUCAAUGGGGACAAAGCUCAGGAUCUGGAUUUAGAUUGCUUGGAAAGUACAGAAACUACAUCUGCUAAAAGCUUGCUAAACUGUAAAGAGGGUGCUGUUGAUAUGGAUCAACAACGAGACAAAGCUUGUAAUUUCACAACAAGGGCUGAAUGUUCAGAUUAUGUACCAAGUGCCAGCACUCAGAACCUCAAUUGCGAGGUGAGUUUCUUCAUUUGAGGACUUUUGGAUUAAGAACUGUUGUGGAUAGCAGUGAAAAAACUGGAGGUCUGGGAGGUAGUGAGUGUCAGGGGUCUUUGCAGGGUGAUGUUUGUGUUCCUGAUCCAGAUCAGUUCUGAAGAGUGGGUGUUUUCAUGGAAAUAGAGUAUUUCAAAAUAUCGUGGCUGAAGAAUUUAAGGUUUUGAAUAUUCUAAUCUCUCUCUGUUUUCACCGUAAAAAAGAUCUAAUCUUACAAUAAUAUUCUGUGUUUUAAUAGCUUUACUAGAAUUUUACAUUUCAUGGGUUUUCAGAAGAAAUAAGAGUAUAAUCUUGUAACUUUUUUUUUUAGUAGUUUAAUUAUUUGUUCUUUGUUAUAGCUUGUUAUAACAAUAUAUAUAUUUAUCAAAUCAGAAUAUGGUCUAUCCCUAUUCUCUUCCUGGCUUGUUGGGUCUUCUUACUAUGACCAACAAUUUUUACAUCGGAUAUUUUCCCCUUUUGUUUCAAGAUAAUUUGAUUAUCAAUGUCCAUGGUAAUUGAAUUUCUUAGACAAUUUUCUGACUGGUGAACAUGUGGUUGCAGGUCCUGCACCACUAUACGUGCUAUGUUUCCAGUAACUGCUUAAGAACCUGACUUGUUUUGUGUAUAGAGAGGCUCAGAGACCAGACCUUCCUUUUGUUUCAUUUUAUAAUUUUUUGUUUAAUGCUUUGUUGGAUUCCUAAUUAUUAUUAUUCUUUCUAUUUUCCAUAUUGUGUAUAGCCAGAUAUCACACUGAGGAAUGUUGUAUAAAUUCAAGAUGGGCUAGGAGGAUGAGUUUGGGGUGAAUCGCAUGAUGUGAGGGAGGUGAAUCACUGAAGUUGCUGCCCACACUGCUACCUUAUGCUACAUUGGGGCUGUUGCUGUGCUGAGAUCCUGUGAGUUGGGAGUGAGGCCAUGUUUGAAUAGUGAGGAGCUGAUUCAAUGAUGGCAGUGAAAUAGAUUGGGAUUUUGGGGAUGGCGUUGUGAUGAUCGUUUGUGUAAAUAGAUGAACAGCAUGAUGCAGAUGCUUAAAAAUGUGGUCACAUCCUGUUGUGGGUGAAACAUGGGCUCAUCUCAUCUUCACAGCUGUGAAUUGUCUCAAAACGUUAACAUAUUUACAUACUUGGGAUAUUAAGGGAGUGGGAACUUUUUUGUUUGCUUUGGUUGAUAAAUUAUGUAAAUGUAUAAUUAAAUAGCCAUUUCGGCUAGGUGGUUUAGUAGAGAAAACGGUAAAACAAAAAAUAUUUUGCGGCAGAUAGUAAGGUAGUCUUCCAUGUCUACCUUUGCUUUGGCAGCUUUAGCCGGUGGGAAGGAUCAUUCUGGCCAUGGGUUUCUUCGGUCUUUUCAAUUUAGUGAACACUAUCUUGUGAAAAAUUGUAUCUUUCUGUCUGUUCUGACAUUGUUUUUCUUCUAUAUUUUGGUGCGUACCUCCUUAAUGUGGUGUUUAUUUUGUGUUGGGAGUAUGGG